UUCUCGUACAAAUACCAAAAUUGAUGUUGUUUUUAGUCGGCGAGCGGUAUUGUUGGGGCCAACAAACAAACAUUUGCCGGCUUAUUUGGAACGUGUUUCAUAGACAGGAUAAGCGGUUAAGUCUCAUUUGAAUAUAAAUGGCCAUUGGCCAUACAUUUUCACAGAAACUGAAAGCAGACUCGGUGGGGAAAUCGGAUGAUUACUGGGACUGGGAGCUACGGAUGAGUAAUACCAGUAACCCUAAUGGGGCCAAGACGAUGGCUUACUCAUCGAAGACUUCAAAGGAGGUGGAGACUGUGGUGAUUCUACGAAGACAGGAGGUAGAAGAAAAUGCAAAUCCCCCACCAAUAUAUCAACCAAAAAGGUAUAAUCUUUAGUGAAAAAAAACCAGUUCAGACUACCAUAUUUCUACCUAUUAUUAUCACACAAUAAAAAAAAAAAGAAACAUCUCUAAUAUGAAACAUGAACGAAAUAAUAAUAAAAAGAAGUUUUAAGCUUGAUUCGGUGUUCGAGCUAAGCAAAGCAGAAUCAGAAUCAGAACCAGAGAGAGUUCUCCAAAGACAACUUCUUGUUUCCUUCUUCAAGAUUCCGGUUCUUUGGAGCCAAAGAGAUAGAGGGGCAAAGGAGCCAAAGAGAGAGGGAGCCAAAAGAGAGAUGGGCCAGGAGCCAAAGAGAGGGGAGCAGAGCAGAGCAGAGGCUGUGGAAAGAGAGACCCAGAAGACGUAAUUAAUGAUCCCGAAAACGUUGACGACGGACGGCAACAGCAGCAGCGCAGCAGCGGCAGCGGCAGCAACCCAUGAAGGGGCAAACGCAUGUUUUUUGUGCCUCGACUGGACCGACAGAUGAAAUACAGACUAAUAAUCUCGCCUAAAACCCACUGACUAAUGGCUCAAAAUUGUGCUUCAGAUAAAGAUAUAUUUCUUAAAAAUGAAUUGUUAAAAAAAAAAAAAUCAACUGAUUAACCGGCUAUUGAAUCAUAAAGCAGAAAAAAAAAACCAAUUUAAGGAGUUUAUCAGAAUGAUUCACGGCGUGUUCUUAAUAAAGGACUUGCUCUGGCAACUUAUCAGGCUGAAUGGUAUUUGUAUUUGUAUUUGUGUGGAAUGGUCUUGGAUGGCUCGACUCUGGAUGCCAUAAGAAGUUGUACUACAACUCGAUGUUUGUAGUAUUUGUAGAAUGUUGAGGGGCGAGUCUGCACGACAGCAAGACGUACUACAAGAUACACAGCAACAGCUAACGCAACAUGGAAACCGGUUCGGAUAACAAAAACAAAAAACACAGAUACUCCAUCAAGUGUCUCUAUGUGUGUGUGUGUGUGUGUGUAAACAAGAAGAAGAAGACAUUAUAACAGAUCUGGCCAGGAGAGGGGAGAGAGCCCCCACACUCUCACAGAGACCAACACCUACCUCCCUUUCCUCCUCCUCCUCCACCUCCCUUUUUUUUUUUCUCUUUCCAUAUUCUUGAACUUCAAAAAGUACAACAAAAUCGAACUGAGGCCCAGCAUAAAACAA